AUGAUAUGGAAGUCAGCCAUCGAACCGAGCAUGGCCCUGGAGCACAGUGCCUGAAAGUAUCUCGCAGUAUGGCCGCAGAGCCAACAAAUCAAUGUUGACAGCUCGGAACGGAGGACCAGGCGCAAAAAUUGGGAACGGAUGGAGAUGCAGAUUCAUAGAAACAGAUACAAAGAUGGGGACUGCUGGAUGUGUCGUGAGAAAAUGGAUUCCGAAAUCAGAAACAAGAGACCGAGGCCCGAUUUCCAAAUAAAUAGCAAUGCAUACUGGGCGCACAUGUAGUAAUGAGCACAUCGGGCUGCUUGGCCAAAUCAAUACAAACAGUCAAUAUUUUAUUUAAAAGUAAAGCUAAAGGAAAUCGUUAAAAGU